AGCGAACGCUGGCGGCAGGCUUAACACAUGCAAGUCGAGCGGGCACUUUCGGGUGUCAGCGGCGGACGGGUGAGUAACGCGUGGGAACGUUCCCUCUGGUUCGGAAUAACUCAGGGAAACUUGAGCUAAUACCGGAUACGCCCUUUUGGGGAAAGGCUUGCUGCCGGAGGAUCGGCCCGCGUCUGAUUAGCUAGUUGGUGAGGUAACGGCUCACCAAGGCGACGAUCAGUAGCUGGUCUGAGAGGAUGAUCAGCCACACUGGGACUGAGACACGGCCCAGACUCCUACGGGAGGCAGCAGUGGGGAAUAUUGGACAAUGGGCGCAAGCCUGAUCCAGCCAUGCCGCGUGAGUGAUGAAGGCCUUAGGGUUGUAAAGCUCUUUUAUCCGGGACGAUAAUGACGGUACCGGAGGAAUAAGCCCCGGCUAACUUCGUG
rnacentral:rRNA from 1 species